rnacentral:rRNA from 1 species
AGAGACAGCAGUAGCCACGGUAAUACAGAGGGUGCGAGCGUUAAUCGGAUUUACUGGGCGUAAAGCGUGCGUAGGCGGCUUCUUAAGUCGGAUGUGAAAUCCCUGAGCUUAACUUAGGAAUUGCAUUCGAUACUGGGAAGCUAGAGUAUGGGAGAGGAUGGUAGAAUUCCAGGUGUAGCGGUGAAAUGCGUAGAGAUCUGGAGGAAUACCGAUGGCGAAGGCAGCCAUCUGGCCUAAUACUGACGCUGAGGUACGAAAGCAUGGGGAGCAAACAGGAUUAGAUACCCGUGUAGUCCCUGUCUCUUAUAC